CGCGAAUUCGCCCUUAGAGUUUGAUCCUGGCUCAGGAUGAACGCUAGCGGCAGGCUUAACACAUGCAAGUCGAGGGGCAGCGAGAUCAGUGCUUGCACUGAUUGUCGGCGACCGGCGCACGGGUGCGUAACGCGUAUGCAACCUACCCAUUACAGGGGGAUAACACUGAGAAAUCGGUACUAAUACCCCAUAACAUCCAGGGAGGCAUCUUCUUGGGUUGAAAACUCCGGUGGUAAUGGAUGGGCAUGCGUUGUAUUAGUUAGUUGGUGGGGUAACGGCUCACCAAGACCACGAUACAUAGGGGGACUGAGAGGUUAACCCCCCACAUUGGUACUGAGACACGGACCAAACUCCUACGGGAGGCAGCAGUGAGGAAUAUUGGUCAAUGGACGCAAGUCUGAACCAGCCAUGCCGCGUGCAAGAAGACGGCUCUAUGAGUUGUAAACUGCUUUUGUACGAGGGUAAACGCAGAUACGCGUAUCUGUCUGAAAGUAUCGUACGAAUAAGGAU
rnacentral:rRNA from 1 species